rnacentral:rRNA from 1 species
AUUGAACGCUGGCGGCAUGCCUUACACAUGCAAGUCGAACGGAAUUGGGAGCUUGCUCCUGAUUUAGUGGCGAACGGGUGAGUAAUGCAUCGGAACGUACCCGGGAGUGGGGGAUAACGUAGCGAAAGUUACGCUAAUACCGCAUAUUCUGUGAGCAGGAAAGCAGGGGACCGCAAGGCCUUGUGCUUCCGGAGCGGCCGAUGUCGGAUUAGCUAGUUGGUGAGGUAAAGGCUCACCAAGGCGACGAUCCGUAGCUGGUCUGAGAGGAUGAUCAGCCACACUGGGACUGAGACACGGCCCAGACUCCUACGGGAGGCAGCAGUGGGGAAUAUUGGACAAUGGGGGCAACCCUGAUCCAGCCAUGCCGCGUGAGUGAAGAAGGCCUUCGGGUUGUAAAGCUCUUUCGCGAGGGAAGAAAGCGCACUGGUUAAUACCUGGUGUGAAUGACGGCACCUUGAUAAGAAGCACCGGCUAACUACGUGCCAGCAGCCGCCGUAA